rnacentral:rRNA from 1 species
UACGUAGGGUCCGAGCGUUGUCCGGAAUUACUGGGCGUAAAGAGCUCGUAGGUGGUUUGUCGCGUUGUUCGUGAAAACUCACAGCUCAACUGUGGGCGUGCGGGCGAUACGGGCAGACUUGAGUACUGCAGGGGAGACUGGAAUUCCUGGUGUAGCGGUGGAAUGCGCAGAUAUCAGGAGGAACACCAGUGGCGAAGGCGGUUCUCUGGGACGGUACUGACGCUGAGACGCGAAAGCGUGGGGGAGCGAACAGG